rnacentral:rRNA from 1 species
GUGAGGAAUAUUGGUCAAUGGGCGAGAGCCUGAACCAGCCAAGUCGCGUGAAGGAAGAAGGAUCUAUGGUUCGUAAACUUCUUUUGCAGGGGAAUAAAGUGCGGGACGUGUCCUGUUUUGUAUGUACCCUGAGAAUAAGGAUCGGCUAACUCCGUGCCAGCAGCCGCGGUAAUACGGAGGAUCCGAGCGUUAUCCGGAUUUAUUGGGUUUAAAGGGUGCGUAGGUGGUUUGAUAAGUCAGCGGUGAAAGUUUGCAGCUUAACUGUAAAAAUGCCGUUGAAGCUGUCGGACUUGAGUGUAAAUGAGGUAGGCGGAAUGCGUGGUGUAGCGGUGAAAUGCAUAGAUAUCACGCAGAACUCCGAUUGCGAAGGCAGCUUACUAAGCUACAACUGACACUGAAGCACGAAAGCGUGGGGAUCAAACAGGAUUAGAAACCCCAGUAGUCC